AAACUCCGAAUGCCGUCAUCUUAUACUUGGGAGUCAGACUGUGGGUGAUAAGAUUCAUAGUCGAAAGGGCAACAGCCCAGAUCGUCAGCUAAGGUCCCUAAAUGUAAGUUAAGUGGUAAAGGAUGUGGGAUUGCACAGACAACCAGGAUGUUGGCUUAGAAGCAGCCACUCAUUCAAAGAGUGCGUAAUAGCUCACUGGUCGAGUGAUCCUGCGCCGAAGAUUUCCGGGGCUAAAACUUACUACCGAAGCUACGGCAUCAGUAAUGAUGGGUAGGGGAGCUUCCCAUACGGGUUGAAGCAUGACCGUAAGGACAUGUGGACAGUAUGGGAGUGAGAAUGUUGGCAUGAGUAGCGAGAUGUGGGUGAGAAUCCCACAGGCCGUAAACCCAAGGUUUCCAGGGGAAGGUUCGUCCGCCCUGGGUUAGUCGGGACCUAAGCUGAGGCCGAAAGGCGUAGGUGAUGGACAACAGGUUGAUAUUCCUGUACUACCGAUAACCGUUUGAGAGA
rnacentral:rRNA from 1 species